AAAUUGAAGAGUUUGAUCAUGGCUCAGAUUGAACGCUGGCGGCAGGCCUAACACAUGCAAGUCGAACGGUAACAGGAAGCAGCUUGCUGCUUCGCUGACGAGUGGCGGACGGGUGAGUAAUGUCUGGGAAACUGCCUGAUGGAGGGGGAUAACUACUGGAAACGGUGGCUAAUACCGCAUAACGUCGCAAGACCAAAGAGGGGGACCUUCGGGCCUCUUGCCAUCGGAUGUGCCCAGAUGGGAUUAGCUAGUAGGUGGGGUAACGGCUCACCUAGGCGACGAUCCCUAGCUGGUCUGAGAGGAUGACCAGCCACACUGGAACUGAGACACGGUCCAGACUCCUACGGGAGGCAGCAGUGGGGAAUAUUGCACAAUGGGCGCAAGCCUGAUGCAGCCAUACCGCGUGUAUGAAGAAGGCCUUCGGGUUGUAAAGUACUUUCAGCGGGGAGGAAGGGAGUAAAGUUAAUACCUUU
rnacentral:rRNA from 1 species